UACAGAGGUGGCAAGCGUUGUUCGGAAUUACUGGGCGUAAAGGGCGCGUAGGCGGCUUGGUCAGUCCCGUGUGAAAUCCCUCGGCUCAACUGAGGAACUGCACGGGAAACUGCCUGGCUUGAGUUCGGGAGAGGGAAGCGGAAUUCCGGGUGUAGCGGUGAAAUGCGUAGAUAUCUGGAGGAACACCGGUGGCGAAGGCGACGUCCUGGACCGGCAUUGACGCUGAGGCGCGAAAGCCAGGGGAGCAAACGGG
rnacentral:rRNA from 1 species